rnacentral:lncRNA from 1 species
ACUGCGACCAUAAGGAUGGAAAAAUAGAGGAAAAAUCCAUCACUAAAGCAUUAUUUUGUUGUAGUGAUAACUUGAUAAGGAUGCCAAACUUAAACAUGCUAAUUGAAUAAGGACCCUUCUUCUAUCAUCAUAUGUGAUCAUGGUUGUCAUGGCUCUCAUCACUCGUUGUACCCUUCUUUCUCCCCGUUGGCAUUGGGUUUUAGGGUUCUUUCCUUUUCUUUUUUUAUUGCUGUACCUUGAGACUCUUUUGAUUAGUUUUCUAUUUUGUUGAUUAGUCCAGAGAGUUUUGUUACAGUUUAUGUGUCA